AUUUAUAUAGUUUAUGAUAAAACAUUAUAUUUUCAAUGUAAAAAAAAUUUUAAAUUUAUAAAUA
rnacentral:tRNA from 1 species